AGAAAGUCUGGUGUGGGUUUAUUGUUUUAGCGAUGAAGAAUUAUUGGACAGUAUGACUUUAGGGAGAGUGUUUUUUAGUGUAUAACUAAGAUUAAUUCUUAUUAACUAGGGUAGAUUAGUUCUAGCCAGUACACUGUAAUAAUAAAGCAGCUAUAGUUCAUAACAUUGGUAAUAAAAGUUUUCUUUGUGCCAGUAUAUCUCUUAAAAGGCGGGUAAGAGUGGUGCCAGCACCAGCGGUUAAACCAGCGCCUUGAGUUAAGAUAAAUGUAGAAAAAAAUCUUGUUAAUUUUAUAGUUCUAGUUAAUAUAUUUCGUAGCGAUAAUAUGAAAGUCUUAAAUUGUUAAAAGCGAGUUAUUUUGAAACCUGGCAAAGAAGACGGGGCAAAUCCCCUUAUUUAUGGCGAAAAAGUUUCUAUGGUGACGGGUGACAAAAAUAAGUUACUAAAGUCAACAGACUUGGCGGUAUUACGAAUUCGGUCAGGGGAGUUUGGCGGUUAAAUCGAUGGCCCUCGAAAACCUUACCUUAAUUAUUUUUUCUAUACAGCCGUUGAAAGUGUGUUUUAAAGGAGCAAUGCGGGGUUACCUAAGUGGGGAAUAAUUCAGGUAAAUGUGGAGAUAGUAUUAAGGGCUUAGCUGAGCUACAGUUUUAAAAUAAAUACGGGUUUCUUUUUGAAAUAAAAGAAGGAGGCUUAGAACCCUCCAAAAGGUGGACUUGACAGUAAAAAUGGGUAGAGGAUCUUUUUGAAUUGUGAAUCGUAGUGCGUACAAACCGCCCAACACUCUUGUAUCUGAAAGUCUAGAUAAGUUGUAACAUGGAAACUGUACCCUAAGGUGUAGUUA
rnacentral:ncRNA from 1 species